CAACUUUGAAACAAAAGACGAAGAGAAGACGAAACAAACACAAAAAUCGAAUCUUUAGAAGAAGAAAGAAGAAGGGAAGUUGUAACAAUGGAGCCUCCUCCUCAAAGAUCCAAACGACUCCAUAACUUCCCUUUACCUCAGCUCCGUUGGGGUCAACAGAGAUACCUCAGAUGCGUCAAUCUACCAUCAUCGAAUUCACAUCACCCAUCUCCUUCUCCCGAUCACCCACCCAACAGAUCCGUUUCCACCAUUGCUGGAGUCUCGAACGACAAGCUUAAAGAAGCGAAGAACGGUGAUGUAGUUGCGGCGGCUCGGCCGUGGAAUCUGAGGACGAGAAGAGCCGCGUGUAGUGAACCUGGUGACGAAUCGCCGGCGAAGAACGUCGGGGUUGAAAUUGGGUUGAAGAGAAGCCUCGUCGAGAAUGAUGAUGAGAAAUUGAAAUUCUCAAUUCCUUUGUCGAGAGAAGAGAUUGAACAAGAUUUCUUCAUUGCUUUUGGGAAAAAACCUCCGAGGAGACCUAAGAAGAGACCAAGGCUUGUUCAGAAGAAAUUGAAUACGAUUUUUCCAGGAUUGUGGUUGGAUGAAGAAGUAACAAUUGAUUCAUAUAAUGGUCCUGGAGCUAUGGAAACGUGAAAAGUAAUGGAGUUGCUUCAUUGUCUCUCUCUCUCUGUUCUUCUUCUACUUUGAGGCAUUCUCAAGUUUAGCAAUGUUCCAGUCCGAGAAGAAACACAAUUUCAAGUUGCUUCACUUUCUAAAGAACAUGAUGCUUGUUUCAUCAACGGUGCAUUGGGCAAUGUCUGUUGAGGACUGGAAAAGCUUCUACUCGCAUCUCUGAGGUUAAGAUGGUUUCUUUGUUGGAUAUCCAGGUUUCCAGACAAGAAUCUAUGUAAGAUAUCCUCAAAUCACCUAACGUUGACCGAACACCAGCAACAAAGCCUGACCUCACAUUUUUUGAGAACUUAUCUAAUUCUUUGAGUCACCAGCGGAUUUCGUUCUCGAGUGAUCUUGGCCAAUCCGAUAUAGCACCACCACCGGUAAUAGAACCAUGCGGCC